rnacentral:misc_RNA from 1 species
CUUCUCAGCAAGAAAGCCUGCCUUGCAUGGGGAAAAUUUUGCAGGUUGUGAAGGCUGCUUCCCUAACUUCUUUGCAGCAGAUGCUUCCAAAUGAAGGAGCUUCUGCUCUACGUCAUCCAACCAUGGUGGUGUAUUGGCUGUGUUUCCUUCUUGUAUUGACAUUAUAUAAACAUCAUCAUAAUGAUGAUCGAUGACUAUAAAAUUAUCAGCAAAGAAGAAGCAAGCAUCCGGAGUCUUUGAU